GACGAACGCUGGCGGCGUGCCUAAUACAUGCAAGUAGAACGCUGAAGGAGGAGCUUGCUCUUCUGGAUGAGUUGCGAACGGGUGAGUAACGCGUAGGUAACCUGCCUGGUAGCGGGGGAUAACUAUUGGAAACGAUGGCUAAUACCGCAUAACAGUAGAUGUUGCAUGAAAUUUGCUAAAAAGGUGCAAUUGACCCACUACCAGAUGGACCUGCGUUGUAUUAGCUAGUUGGUGGGGUAACGGCUCACCAAGGCGACGAUACAUAGCCGACCUGAGAGGGGGAUCGGCCACACUGGGACUGAGACACGGCCCAGACUCCUACGGGAGGCAGCAGUAGGGAAUCUUCGGCAAUGGACGGAAGUCUGACCGAGCAACGCCGCGUGAGUGAAGAAGGUUUUCGGAUCGUAAAGCUCUGUUGUAAGAGAAGAACGAGUGUGAGAGUGGAAAGUUCACACUGUGACGGUAUCUUACCAGAAAGGGACGGCUAACUACGUG
rnacentral:rRNA from 1 species